AAAUCAUGAUGUGGGCACCUUCUCAGAAGCCCUUUGAAUUGUUCUCAUGCUUCAAAUAGAGAUUCAAAAUCAUAUUGUUAAAAGUUGGAAAUCUAUGUCAUAAGCUU